GACGAACGCUGGCGGCGUGCCUGACACAUGCAAGUCGGACGGUUCUUGCACCUUCAAGCUUGCUUGCUGGUGCAGGGAUAGUGGCGGACGGGUGAGUAACGCGUGAACAUCUACCCAUUGGAGGGGGGACAACCCGUCGAAAGGCGGGCUAAUACCGCGUAAGCCGUGAGGUGAGAGGCUGCCUAUUGGUGGCCGCCGAUGGAUGGGUUCGCGUCCUAUCAGCUGGUUGGUGGGGUAACGGCCUACCAAGGCGAAGACGGGUAGCCGGUCUGAGAGGAUGGCCGGCCACACUGGAACUGAGACACGGUCCAGACUCCUACGGGAGGCAGCAGUGGGGAAUAUUGGGCAAUGGGGGUAACCCUGACCCAGCGACGCCGCGUGAGGGACGAAGGUUUUCGGAUCGUAAACCUCUGUUGUACGGGAAGAAGGAUGUGACGGUACCGUACGAGAAAGCCCCGGCAAACUACGUG
rnacentral:rRNA from 1 species